rnacentral:rRNA from 1 species
GAUCCUGGCUCAGGAUGAACGCUAGCUACAGGCUUAACACAUGCAAGUCGAGGGGUUUUCUUUAAGAAGCUUGCUUUUUGAAGAGAACGACCGGCGCACGGGUGAGUAACGCGUAUCCAACCUGCCUCUCAUAUUGGGAUAGCCUUUCGAAAGAGAGAUUAAUACCGAAUAACAUAUUGAAUUUGCAUGAGCUCAAUAUGAAAGCUCCGGCGAUAAGGAUAGGCUCGCGUGACAUUAGCUAGACGGCGGGGUAACGGCCCACCGUGGCUACGAUGUCUAGGGGUUCUGAGAGGAAGGUCCCCCACACUGGAACUGAGACACGGUCCAGACUCCUACGGGAGGCAGCAGUGAGGAAUAUUGGUCAAUGGUCGGAAGACUGAACCAGCCAAGUAGCGUGAAGGAUGAAGGUUCUAUGGAUUGUAAACUUCUUUUAUACGGGAAUAAAACCUCCCACGUGUGGGAGCUUGUAUGUACCGUAUGAAUAAGCAUCGGCUAACUCCGUG